CGCCUUCCCAAUCGUUUCCCGCCGCAUCCCCGUUUGUAGCGGUCCCAAUGCCGCAUGUUUCAACUUUUUCCCAAUCCUCAUCUUCCUGCUUCGCAUACUUGGCUCUUCUUGAGUGGUAUUCCUCCUCAUCUAGCCGUAUCCGCGCACGUAUGAGGUCCCGCUUCCACCGGUAUUUCCUGGCAAUAAGCCAUCCAAUCGACUUGAAGACAAAGCGGAAGACAAACCCAGAUAAUCGCGGAGCGGUCAGAAAAAGUGCGAGCAGCGUCACGAGAGUAGCAAUGGAUGACGCGGAUAACAACAUCAUGGGCCUGCAGUCAGCGGAGGAAAUUAGUGGAUGCCGACACACAAGCCGUUACCGACAGAAGUGUAUGCUGU
rnacentral:sRNA from 2 species